rnacentral:rRNA from 1 species
CCCUUAGAUGUUCUGGGCUGCACGCGUGCUACACUGAUAUUGCCAAUAUGUCAUUCUUAUCCGAAAUGGAUUGGGUAAUCAAGUAAUGAAAUUUCAUGCUUGGAAUCGGUAAUUGCAAUUUUAUCGUGAACGGGGAAUUCCUAGUAAGCACUAGUCAUCAGCUAAUGUUGAUUAUGUCCCUGCCCUUUGUACACACCGCCCGUCGCUACUACUGAUUGGGUGUUCAAGUGAGAUGCUUAGACCCUUGUUGCAUGGUUCAUUAUUGUGCUCCGAAAGGAAAAAGUUUCAAGCUUGAGUGUCUAGAGGAAGUAAAAGUCGUAACA